CAGAACCACUAACGUGAUGCAGAUGGGGGCCUUUAAGAGCAUCUGAUGCGACUUAGUUGUCUAAGGAGGAAACUAAUGUUGGAACUACAAUGGGGGCACUGAAGAGUUUGAUGGCUCACAGGCAGUUAGGAAGAGAUUCUGAAUUCCUGAGGCUGAGCCCAGAACUUUCCAUAGCCUGAGAUUCUGAAAAAGGGCCACCACGGCACACCAAACAAUCCAGAUGUUCCUGCUGCCUAGUGAUUUGGCUGGGUGAUGGCCCUCAUAUCUCAGUGUUCAAGGAAGACCAUGCUUGGGUGCGCGGCAGGCACAUUCAAGCAACUGUGAUGCUUUGUGGGAGGCCUCAGCAGGCACAUCAGGGAUAAAACAUCUUUGACAUUGUGAUUAACAAAUACUCUGUCAACACAAGAAAAGGUGGCGUGUGUCUGAUCUCACUUGCCUUUUAGAGUGAGCAGUAUCUUCUGAGUUGGCCACUGGAACACAGUUUCUCUCUAAGCAUGAGUCAGUGGCUCACUUCAGGCUACACCCGAACAGUGUCAGCAGCACGAAGAUGUGUCAGACUUCUCAGAAUCCUGUGGAACAGAGCAGACAGGAGGUGGAGACAAUGAAGAGAGAGAAGAAAACACCACAAAUCCUGUCUGCAGCACCCUCCCCUCCCUGGGACAAAGGGCAGAUUUAUUCCUUCCUUCGGGGGAUUAAUAACAUCAGCAAUAAUAACCAAUACUUAACAGCAUGCCUGGCAAAUACUCAUAAAGAAAUAACACUUAAUUUACCUAAUCCUAGUGACAGCUCCAGUGAAAUAAUGAACUAUUAUUAUAGCCAUUUUAUAGAUGAGAUUGAGGUCUAAAGAAAUUGAAUAUCACAUCUCUCGUUAGUGGUAAAUCUAUAUUUGCAUCCAAUCAAUUGGACCCCUGAUAACCUGUGCUCUUACCCACCAUAUAGUCUUUUAUUUUUAAGUCUCCACCCAAGUUAUCCCCAUAUGAGACAAAUCCUGCCUAUAUCUCCCACCUUUCCCUGACUAGAAAUCAGCCGCA
rnacentral:lncRNA from 1 species